rnacentral:sRNA from 1 species
UUAGCAACCAAACUUCUCUUCAAGAAAUUUAUCUCAAAACCACCCACAAACCAAUCAAAAUGUCUCCCUGUUCUUGCAACUGCUGCCAAGGCGAGUGCAACUCCUGCUCCUGCGGAAGCUGCAGCGUAAGUUUUU